UUUUUUCUUUUUCUUUUGUCUUCUUCUCCCCAAGGCCCCCCGGUACAUAAUCGUAUAUUCUGCUUCUGAGUGCCUCUAGUUGUGGCAUGCGGGACGCCAUCUCAGCGUGGCCUGAUGGGCGGUGCCAUGUCUGGGCCCAGGAUCCAAACCGAUGAAACCCUGGGCCGCUGAAGCAGAGCACGUGAACUUAACCACUCAGCCACGGGGCCGGCCCCUAGAACUUGCUUUUCAAGUUCAAUAAUAUUGACUUGACAUUUUCUUGCAUCAUAAUUAAAAAAAAGUUGAACAACACCUGGGAGCAUGAAAUGGCCUCUACAGGCAGAGUAGAGCAUCCAGAGCCCCAGAGGCAUCAAGACAAAAUGGAAAAACUUCAGUAAUUCCAGAGUGGGCUGCUGAUGGGAGACCACAGAAAGCGUUUUUUGAUCUACAUAAACUUUACAAAAUUCCUUUAGAGUUUAUGUAAAUCAUAUUCAUACCCUAUGAAUAUUGGUCAUAGUGAAGGGUAACUUGAAUAGCUUCUAGGAUUCAAGGAGAUGGAAUAUAAAGUACAAUUUCUCAUAGCUGUUCCAAAUAUGUUACUUUCCUUCCCUCUAGAUCCCCUGUCCCAAGGGCAACAUCUGAGCUUCUGCCAAGCCCCACUCCCCACUUCAGGGAUCAGCCAACGGAUGUGGCCCGACACCCAGUCACUUGGCACAAAGGGUGGGAUUUCAUCUCCUCUGUCAUCUUAACCCCUCAGAGGGAUUGUUGAAUGACUACUCCCAGGGCCACAUUAUCAGGGGAGUGUCAUGGACCGUUUCUUCAGCCCUGGAAGCCCAUUUCUGAAAGGGAGGCUGCUCUGUGUCGUCUGAGGAGGGCGAGGGAUGGAGCCUCAUUCCUGUCCUGACACGUACCUGGAGAGGGGACUUCAGCUCGGUCAGCCUGAGCUUGGUCAUCUGUGAAGUGGGACUCAGGACACCUUCGUCACAGAGCUGUCCUGAGGGAUAAAUGAGAAAACCUGCCCAGAGUACAUGGCAUGUGGUGGGACUUCUGUGGCCCUUUAAAUGUUGGGAAACAGCAACAGGGGCUGGCUGAGCCUCGGGGCUGAGGCAGGCACUGUGAGUCGUCAUUUCUCUCAGUGAGAAGACAGAUAUCUUUAUGAAAGAAGCAAGUAUCUCUUUGAUAUGCUGUGAGUUCAAAGUUUUGGAGAAACAAGAUUCUCUACUUUCUUGGAUGUUUCAGAAGCUCCUAAGAGCUGCCCCACAUCGUGCCUCUGCGCAGACCCUAAUCCAGUUCCUCACCUGCUGAGCUCAGUGAGACGUGAUACCAGGGCAGCAAGGUGUGGCAUUUGCCUUACUGCUGCUCUGGACUGACCUGUGUCUUAAUACAUUGAUAGGAAAAUUCUGGACCCGCCCCAGUCACCGGUGCAGGGGUCCUCAGAUUAUGCAAGAUCCAGGCACAUCACACCAGGAUUUCAGCCAUCUGCUGCCUCCCUGCGAGGCAAAAAUCCAAAAAUUACUGGCAUUUCUUUGCCACAAUUCUCCAUUCUUCCAUUCACUGAUAGCUAAAUAUGUAUGGAGCUCAAAACCCAUACUGUUCCAUUGGAGACGUCUCAUUAACUCUAAAGUGGAAAUAAGAGGGAAAUGUGGGAAAAUUCAAGGGGUAAAUCUGAGAUGCGAUGGCUCCUGCACAUUAGCUUUUAUACUUUCUAGAAAUUGAAGAUUAAAAAAGAAUCCAUCUUUGGACCUCGCACUCCAUUCAGUAACAGGCUCGCUUUCUCUUUCUCCCCACUCCCUUUCAAAAUCAAAGUUCCAGAAAGCAUUUUCUGCAUUCCAUGUUAACAUUCUUCACUUCCCACUGACUCUUUAUCUCACUUCACUAUCAAUUCUGUCCCCAUGAUGGCAAUGAACAGGCUCUCACCAAGGUCACAAGUCACCUUUUGUCACUAGGGCCAGAUAUUUGUGUAAAUAUAUUAAUAUAUGAAUAUUGCUCUUAUUUUUGGUGAGGAAGAUUGGUCCUGAGCUAACAUCUGUGCCAAUCUUCGUCUAUUUCUUCGCCACAACAUGGCUUGACAAGCGGUGUAUAGGUCCAUGCCUAGGAUCUGAACCUGUGAACCCCAGGCCACCAAAGCAGAGCAUACGAACUUAAACACUAAGCCACUGGGCCGCCCUGAAUAUUGCUUUUAAUGAUCACCUAUAAUAUGCAUGCUGUGCAGAGUGUGUCUGUCACUUAUAAUAACAAAUCUUUGACAGUUUCCUAGACUCUGGAGCAUGAGGUGCUGGGUACAAACCCAAGCUGUCCUGUUCCCUUAACUGUGAAGUCCUGGGCCAAGUCCUUAUUCUCUCUGUCCCUCAGCUUUUUGUCUAUCAAAUGGGGAUUAGCAACAGUGUCUACCUCAUAGGGGUGUUGUGAGCAUUAAAUGAAUCAAUACAAAAAUAAAUCAUUAGCACAUACGAAAAACUUAGCCAUAUUUAUUUUUCUCAUAUAUCUUUAUUAGCACUACUAUCUGCUUAGGCAUGAAAAAAUAGGAUACAGACUGAUGUUUAUUCACAACCAAUGACAUUUGGAGUAUUUGGUUAGUGAGUGUGAAACUGGGGGCCAACUUGCUUUAACUAUACUCAGUUUCUGUUUAUAAAAGUAGUUAGGUAUUGCAUUAUUUAAACCCACCCUAUAGAUAACAUCUUCUCAGCACCUGUGUUACCAUAGUAACAGAUGCUUGAGUUGUUUUUCAGGAAAUAAGAGUCAAUCUCUGUCCAGUUCAGGCUGGUCAAGACCACCAACCUACCAACUGGGCAUGUGCAAGCAUCUGAUAGGCAAUCUCCUGACAUCAGGGAAAUAAAAAUUCCACCCUCAGAUCAUGCGAACAUCACCAUUUUGUGAACAUGCGUCCUAUGAAGAGCCAUGAAGCUUGACUACACUCAUACAGAUUAUCAAAUAAUUCACUCCUCCUUACCUCUAAUCUUUUAUUCUCUCACUUCAGACUACUCUGCCCGUUUUUCUAUAAAUAUCCCUAAAUCCCCAUUUUUCAAGGAUGUGGAUUUGAAAUUUGUCCUCCUGUCUCCUUGCUUGGCUGCCUUGUGAAUAAACCUUUUUUCUGCUGCAAACUCUUCAUCUCGGUGAUUGGCAUAUAUCAUGUGGCAAGCAAAAUGAACCUGGUUCAGUAAGAAGUGUAUUAGUUCCUAGGGCUGCUCUAACUAAUUACCAGAAACUUCAUGGCUUAGAACCACAGAAAUUUAUUAUCUCAUACUUUUGGUGAACAGAAAUCUAAAAUCAAUUUGUCAGCAGAGCCAAGAUCCCUCUGAAGCCUUGAGAGGAGAAUCUUUCUUUACCUCUUCCAUCCUAGAAGCUCCUGGAUUUCCUUGCUUUGCAGCAGCAUAACUCCAGUCUCUGACUCUGUCUUCACAUGGUCUUCUUCUCUGUGUGUGUGUGAAACCUCCCUCUCCUAUUAUGACCUCAAGAAAAACCCAUCUUUGAAUGAUGGGGCUGGCCCUGUGGCCUAGUAGUUAAGUUCAGUGUACUCUGCUUUGGUGGCCCAGGUUUGGUUCCCGGACACAGACCUACAACACUCAUUGGCGGCCAUGCUGUGGUGGUGACCCACAUACAAAAUAAAGGAAGAUUGGCACAAGCGUUAGCUCAGAGCAAAUCUUCCUCAGCAAAAAAAAAAAAAAAAAA
ensembl:lncRNA